rnacentral:rRNA from 1 species
UGAGGGAAUAUUUGGGGUCAAUGGACGAGAGUCUGAACCAGCCAAGUAGCGUGCAGGAUGACGGCCCUAUGGGUUGUAAACUGCUUUUAUAAGGGAAUAAAGUGGGAGUCGUGACUCCUUUGCAUGUACCUUAUGAAUAAGGACCGGCUAAUUCCGUGCCAGCAGCCGCGGUAAUACGGAAGGUCCGGGCGUUAUCCGGAUUUAUUGGGUUUAAAGGGAGCGUAGGCCGGAGAUUAAGCGUGUUGUGAAAUGUAGAUGCUCAACAUCUGCACUGCAGCGCGAACUGGUUUCCUUGAGUACGCACAAAGUGGGCGGAAUUCGUGGUGUAGCGGUGAAAUGCUUAGAUAUCACGAAGAACUCCGAUUGCGAAGGCAGCUCACU